rnacentral:rRNA from 1 species
UACGUAGGGUGCGAGCGUUGUCCGGAAUUAUUGGGCGUAAAGGGCUCGUAGGCGGUUUGCCGCGUCGGGAGUGAAAUCAUCUGGCUUAACUGGGUGCUUGCUUUCGAUACGGGCAGACUAGAGGUAUGCAGGGGAGAACGGAAUUCCUGGUGUAGCGGUGAAAUGCGCAAAUAUCAGGAGGAACACCGGUGGCGAAGGCGGUUCUCUGGGCAUGACCUGACGCUGAGGAGCGAAAGUGUGGGGAGCGAACAGG